rnacentral:lncRNA from 1 species
UCCAGCGUUUGGGGCUAGAAGUUGCGGACUAGUAGCUGAGGCAGCACGGGAGUGUAGGCGCGCGGGGUCGUUGCCGGGGGCACAGAGUGAGAACAAGCAAGGGAGCCCUGCUGAAUUGCAGCUUAGGAAGCCCUGAAUCCUGGAGGAUCCUGCUCCUUCUGUGGAUUAACAAGACAGCAUGUAGAAUCACAGCUCUUGUUUCAUGAAGUUUGUUAAGUAAUUUGAACAAAGAUAUGUUCCUGACCUUUCCUUCUUGAAGGGACAGCUGUGUAACCAUUCAACCAUCUGGCCAUCAGUUUCCACAUCUGUGAAAUCAACUUCUGCCUCAUGGAGCCAUGAGUGCCCAAGGCUCUCGUGUGUAUUAUCUGACUGGAAAGUC